rnacentral:rRNA from 1 species
UCGUAACGGACCCGGUCUUCGGAACUGGGAGCGUACACAGGUGCUGCAUGGCUGUCGUCAGCUCGUGUCGUGAGAUGUUGGGUUAAGUCCCGCAACGAGCGCAACCCUUGCCUUUAGUUGCCAGCAGUUCGGCUGGGCACUCUAAAGGGACUGCCGGUGUUAAACCGGAGGAAGGUGGGGAUGACGUCAAGUCCUCAUGGCCUUUAUGACCAGGGCUACACACGUACUACAAUGGCCGAUACAAAGGGCAGCGACACUGCGAGGUGAAGCCAAUCCCGUAAAAUCGGUCUCAGUCCGGAUUGGAGUCUGCAACUCGACUCCAUGAAGUUGGAAUCGCUAGUAAUCGUGGAUCAGCAUGCCACGGUGAAUACGUUCCCGGGCCUU